GUGGACAGUAAUGGAGGCGUUAAAGAACCAAACCAAAACAAAAGUACCUGACAGCUCCCAGGAUCCAGCUGUGACUCAGGAGGAAACCUGAGAACCCAGAGGACAUCCAUGCAGACAUGGGGAGAACAAGCGACAGUGACAGUGACACAGACAGUCACCUGCGCACAGGAUAGAACCCGGGUCCCCGGAACAGUGCGACACCCGUGAGCCUGGUCACAAGCUGGUUGUGUUCCAACGACUGGGCUUCUCAUUACAGCAGAGACACUGAAAGCAAAACCACUGAGAACACUAAGCUCGAAGUGUCAAUCUAUGUAAGCGGUGACCAAAGUCCUUGUGUGUGAGCAUAUAAAAACAGUAAUGAAACAUAAGAUGGUCCUAAAACACUGUACAGUGUAAUUGUCAAUAUUGAAACACUCAGUGUUCAAAGUUCAAGAAGAGAUCACACAAAUAAAUUGGUAAACGUUGGUAAAGAGACAUAGUAUUCAUUAUUCUUAAGAUAAGUUCAACCAGAUCUCACACACAGAUAUAUAUUUGAAUGUUAUAUGAAAAAUCAAAAGUAAUAGUAAACAGAAAGUGGCAUAAUGUGUGCCUGAAAGAUGAAAGUAUAUCUCGUAGUCAACAAGCGUAAAUAUUUCCUUCUAAGCUCCAUGAUUUGUUGCUUCUUGUCCCUGAGGACAGGGACAAUAGUUCAGCAAGCCUGGGAGCUGUGGGGGUUAUGCUGUGGUGGGCCAAACUCCCAUU